GAUGAACGCUAGCGGCAGGCCUAAUACAUGCAAGUCGAACGGGAUCCGGGGGUAGCUUGCUACCUUUGGUGAGAGUGGCGGAUGGGUGCGUAACGCGUGAGCAACCUACCUUUAUCUACGGUAUAGCCCGGCGAAAGUCGGAUUAACCCCGUAUGUGAUAUGGAUUCGGCAUCGUUUUCAUAUUAAAUAUUUAUAGGAUAUGGAUGGGCUCGCGUGACAUUAGCUGGUCGGUACGGGUAACGGCCUACCGAGGCUAUGAUGUCUAGGGGCUCUGAGAGGAGAACCCCCCACACUGGGACUGAGACACGGCCCAGACUCCUACGGGAGGCAGCAGUAAGGGAUAUUGGUCAAUGGAGGGAACUCUGAACCAGCCAUGCCGCGUGCAGGACGACUGCCCUCAGGGUUGUAAACUGCUUUUAUACGGGAAUAACUACAGUUACGUGCUAACUGUUUGAAUGUACCGUACGAAUAAGGAUCGGCUAACUCCGUGCCAGCAGCCGCGGUAAUACGGAGGAUCCGAGCGUUAUCCGGAUUUAUUGGGUUUAAAGGGUGCUUAGGCUGCAUUUUAAGUCAGUGGUGAAAUUUGCGGGCUCAACCUGUAGCUUGCCAUUGAAACUGGGGUGCUUGAAUAGGUUCGAGGACGGCGGAAUGUGACGAGUAGCGGUGAAAUGCAUAGAUAUGUCACAGAACACCGAUUGCGUAGGCAGCUGUCCAGGUCUUUAUUGACGCUGAAUCACGAAAGCGUGGGUAUCGAACAGGAUUAGAUACCCUGGUAGUCCACGCUGUAAACUAUGAUAACUCGAUGUUGGCGAUAUAUUGUCAGUGUCCAAGCGAAAGCGUUAAGUUAUCCACCUGGGGAGUACGGCCGCAAGGCUGAAACUCAAAGGAAUUGACGGGGGCCCGCACAAGCGGAGGAGCAUGUGGUUUAAUUCGAUGAUACGCGAGGAACCUUACCCGGGCUUGAAAGUUAGCGACUGGUGCAGAGACGCACCAUCCCUUCGGGGCGCGAAACUAGGUGCUGCAUGGCUGUCGUCAGCUCGUGCCGUGAGGUGUUGGGUUAAGUCCCGUAACGAGCGCAACCCUUAUUUUCAGUUGCCAUCAGUUUUGGCUGGGGACUCUGAAGAGACUGCCCGCGUAAGCGGUGAGGAAGGCGGGGACGACGUCAAGUCAUCAUGGCCCUUACGCCCGGGGCUACACACGUGCUACAAUGGUUGAUACAGGGGGCAGCUAUCUGGUGACAGAGUGCCAAUCUCAUUAAAGUCAAUCACAGUUCGGAUUGAGGUCUGCAACUCGACCUCAUGAAGUUGGAUUCGCUAGUAAUCGCGUAUCAGCAAUGUCGCGGUGAAUACGUUCCCGGGCCU
rnacentral:rRNA from 1 species